rnacentral:sRNA from 1 species
AUGUACCUACGUACAUUCCGGUUCCUCCGUGCCGUCCACACCCACCUGACGACUGCUCGCUACGUUUUGUCAGCC